GGAAUGUGUACUCGUGAUGCUGUGUGGGAGAAGUUUAUGGGCAGUACAGAGAACAUGUGGCGGGUUUUUCUACUCAUGAUGUGGUUUAGAGGAAGUCUAUGGGCAGUAUUAGAUCAAAGAAUAUAUCUUCCUAUAGACUUUGGUUCAGUGUCUCCUGUACCACGAAUUCCUAACAAAUGUGAAAUAGCAAGCAUCUUAUGUAACAAGGAAAGAGUCAUAGUUUUCACCAAGUCAAUUCUCAACCAUUUUCUGCCCCAGUUAGGAGGGGGCAAAUCCACCUAA
rnacentral:lncRNA from 1 species